UACGAAGGGGGCUAGCGUUGCUCGGAAUCACUGGGCGUAAAGGGUGUGCAGGCGGGCUGUUAAGUGGUGUAUGAAAUCGCCCGGCUCAACCGGGCUAGGUUAUGCCAGACUGGCAGUCUAGAGAGCGAGAGAGGGACGUGGAAUUCCGGGUGUAGUGGUGAAAUGCGUAGAGAUCCGGAGGAACCCCAGAGGCGAAGGCGGCGUCCUGGCUCGCAUCUGACGCUCAGACACGACAGCAUGGGGAGCGAACGGG
rnacentral:rRNA from 1 species